GAUGAACGCUGGCGGCGUGCCUAAUACAUGCAAGUCGAGCGAACGGACGAGAAGCUUGCUUCUCUGAUGUUAGCGGCGGACGGGUGAGUAACACGUGGAUAACCUACCUAUAAGACUGGGAUAACUUCGGGAAACCGGAGCUAAUACCGGAUAAUAUUUUGAACCGCAUGGUUCAAAAGUGAAAGACGGUCUUGCUGUCACUUAUAGAUGGAUCCGCGCUGCAUUAGCUAGUUGGUAAGGUAACGGCUUACCAAGGCAACGAUGCAUAGCCGACCUGAGAGGGGGAGGGGCGACAGGGGAGCGGGGACAGGAACAAGGCGCCGGGGGGAGGGAGCAGAGGGAAACCUGAGGCAGGGGGGGAAAGCGGGGCGAAACGGGCGGGAGGGGGUGAAAAAGGUGUGGGGAUCGAAAACCUUUUUUAUGGGGGAAAAACAUAUGUAUAAGGAGAUGAGCACUGCGGGACGGUAAUUAAUAAAAAAGCCCCGGCUAACUACGGG
rnacentral:rRNA from 1 species